GUUUUGCAGAAUCUUCCUGCCCAGUUGGAAGUCUGUUUCUCAUGAGCAGGCUACAGAAAAAGGGCCAGAGAAAUAAAGGUGGAGACCUCAAACCAUAAGUUAAAUGGAAGAGUUAAAAGUAUUUCUGCUGCUCACUGGAUUUCAAGUUGCUCAACAUCUGUAGAUUCACAGAGUUGUGGAGAAGUGAGGUUCCCGGACAACCAACUUCAUCCUGCAUGAUUUCUGUCCUUCUAAUUUAGUUUGAAACUUUCACUAAGGCAGAUGUCAUUUCUUUGAGACGCCAUAGGAUUCACUUCAUAGAACAACAAAAUCAGCCAAGGAACAUACAUGCAUAACCCAGAGACUCAGACCACAGUUUGGUGAUGGCUU